rnacentral:rRNA from 1 species
AUGCGUGCACACACGACACGCCGCGCGCUUGUUACCCUCGCCGUUCCGAUACGUCGGGCCCACAAAUCUAUCUCUCAUCCCAGGCGCUCGCGUGUCGACUGUGGAGUUCGGGAGAGAGGCCGAGGCGACCGCACCACUCUUGAGAACAUGACCAGCUUGUCCCUGGCACACGCGGUGAAAUACGCCCAGUGCCCCUGGUGCUCCUCUGUCGGCCUGCCGUACGGACGGGCCCGCAUAGCGACGACGCAUCCGACGGGCGCCGCAGGUCCACGCCACCCCACUUGCUCUCCGGCAUGUCAGAAUCUAUUUAUCACCGCCCGGCUACCUACCCAUCCCCCGCCCCCGCUGCCUCCGACCCGACGGCAACGAAACUUUAUCCCGUGGACCCGCACGUCAGCGUGGCGGGGCACGUUGCGUAUCGCGAGGUGGUUGUAG